rnacentral:lncRNA from 1 species
CAACCCUGUAUAUUAUGUAACCAUGUCAUGUGAGGUGCAUUAGGUAACUCAUGUGAGCUCAUUCUUGGUUAGGAGCCACUGUUGUCUGUAAAAGGUAUAACUAACCUGCUGAGGCUGUACAUAUGGCUCAUGCCCAGAGAGAGAAUAAAGCCAUGUCACAAAUGCCUAUGAUUCCUAUGAUUCUCAAGUGUUUUUCCAGCUACAUGCCACCUGCCCACUGAGUCCCCUUGGACUCCAGCUUGAGCUUGAACCUGAUAACUGGUGUAGUCAGCAGGAUCCCGAGGGUGGCCAGCCAGCAGCACACCAUCCAGGCCCUGCAACACUUAUGUGCCCUGUAUGGCUGCCCUCUGGCCAUUGAGAGUGAUAGGGGAACACAUUUCACUGGGCAACAGGUACAACAAAUGAACAUAAUGUGGAUUCCAUGUGUCAUACAAUCUAUAAGCUGCACGUACGAUUGAAUGAUAUAGUGGGCUCUUGAAGAAUGUGACUUAUGCUUGCAUACCACACCCUCAUCUUGGUGGGGCUGGAGUUCCAGGCUGGACCUGGUGCUCCAAACCUUGAAUAAAUGGCCACGGAAAGGCAGCCUGGGCUGGUGGAGGCUUUGAUACGCCGGGCUGGCACCCCCAUUCAGUUGCACGACCUGCUCC